rnacentral:rRNA from 1 species
UACGGGGGGGGCAAGCGUUGUUCGGAAUUACUGGGCGUAAAGGGCUCGUAGGCGGCCAACUAAGUCGGACGUGAAAUCCCUCGGCUCAACCGGGGAACUGCGUCCGAUACUGGAUGGCUCGAGUCCGGGAGAGGGAUGCGGAAUUCCAGGUGUAGCGGUGAAAUGCGUAGAUAUCAAGAGGAACACCUGCGGCGAAGGCGGGUUGCUGGGCCGACACUGACGCUGAGGCGCGAAAGCCAGGGGAGCGAACGGG